UACGGGGGGGGCAAGCGUUGUUCGGAAUUACUGGGCGUAAAGGGCUCGUAGGCGGCCCGCUAAGUCGAACGUGAAAUCCCCGAGCUCAACUCGGGAACUGCGUCCGAUACUGGCGGGCUUGGAAUCCGGGAGAGGGAUGCGGAAUUCCAGGUGUAGCGGUGAAAUGCGUGAGAUAUCUGGAGGAACACCGGUGGCGAAGGCGGCAUCCUGGACCGGCAUUGACGCUGAGGCGCGAAAGCUAGGGGAGCAAACGGGG
rnacentral:rRNA from 1 species